UCAAGUCUGUGUCAUAUACUCAAUGGGAGAGUCGUGUUCAUAGUGUUAAGCCUAUAAGGUUUUAGAUGCCAGAAAUGAGGGAAUCGUACGUUACUAUAGGUGGUUGAAUGUGAUAAGGAUCCAUUGAAAGCUAGUGAAGCUAAAUCGUUGGAAGAUAAAAUGAUCUUGCGGGCUUUUAUUUUUUAGUGGCAAUAAUCAUAUUUUGUGUGAAAUAUUAUCUACUGUUAAUUUGGUCAACAAGAAGUUGCUACCCAAAGAUAUGUUUAUUGAUACAGCAAUUGAAUGUGUGCAGGGCUGAUUUCCCUUUUCCUUAAGUAUAGAGAAACUGGCUUUCCAAAGCACAAUGGAAGCUGCUAAAGAAAUUGCAAUGGAGACGGAUAUUCAUCCAGACUUUGGCACCAAGCGUAAAAUCAAACCAAAAGACAGUUUGAUUAGGGCGUAGAUGACACAUCUACUGUUUAACAAUCUACAGAGGAGUCAUUUAGGAUCAAUUAUCUGAUACCUGUUGUUGUCUUGUUGACAAAGUUAUAGCUUCACUUACCAACAGAUUUGAACAAUGCCAAGGCAAUGAGAAAACAUUUGGCUUCAUGCAUGUUUACAUCCGAUACGUCACGAUCUGAGAGUUUGAUGGCAGCUUGUGCUAAUCUGAGAGUUUAAGAGUGGUGUACAUAAGGACAUUGAUUUACAAGAUGUGUGCGGCUAAGAUGGAUUUUAAUCUAAGGAAGGAAGGAGUGCAAGUGGAAGUCUUGGAAUGGAUUGGAGAUAUACCAGAAUAUGGGGAGCUUCAGGAAGUCUGAAUUCAGAUCUUUGGUAUCCCUCCAAGAUGGUGUCACUGGAAGGUUUUUGCACAGGUAGCGUCAGGAUUUGGUUUGAUGAUAGAGGUAGAUUGGGCCACGCUGUUCAAAACUUUUUAUGAGGUGGUCAGGGUGAAAGUAGCAGUUAAAGAUGCUAGUAAGAUUCCUCAGGAGAGAUUGUAUGAGAUGAACCGGAAAUUGUUUCUGAUAUCUUUCAUUGUUGAGGGGGAAGAGACUUUGGUAGAAGGCAAAAGGGAUGAAGGAGGUGAUGAUGGUGAUGGUGAUGACAAAGGGGAGGACAAGUCAAAUGAUGACCUGUACAGUAAUGGAAAGGACAUGAAUGAUGCAAGCAAAAAAUCUGAAAAUACAGCUAAAACUCCCAAUGUUCAGCAAUCAAAACAAAAUUAUGGAUAUAAGACAGCUGGUAGUCUGGAGGGGUUAUCUGUAAGGAUGGAUUUUCUGAACCAAGAGGAACAACUCAUGAGGGCUAUGGAAGAAGUAUCACCAGCUCAAGGGAUGUUUUAUGGGGGUGAGUGUUCUUGGGAAAAGGCAGCUGGCUGCAUUAAUUUAUCGUCGAUGCAAAAUGAAAGUAUGACUUCAGUGGGAGGCAUAGUUAAGGAGUUAACUCCUGGAAAACUUAUGAAACCAACAGAUACAAAUGUAUUAGUCAGUACUACUCCAGUUACUCACAUUGAUGUGGAGGAUUGGAAAACACCUGAAGCAACAAUGAAGAAUGACUCAGAGUGUCUCAUAGUGGGGAAUAAAUUCUGCAACCUGAUUAAUGAAGAAUCUCAUCAUUCCAAAUGGGAAGAGUUCAGAAACCUUGCUAAAGAAGGGAUAACCGAGGACUCCUCUAUGCUAUUGAGGAAGAUGGAAUUGGAAGACUCGGAUGAGGAAUAUGACCUUAUGGAUGAUGUGAUGGAUGAG
rnacentral:lncRNA from 1 species